GGUCCGUUGUCUGGAAUGGCUUCGGGGAGCAGGGCGAUCGGAUCCUGCCUUGCUCCCUGUUCUUUGUGAGAACCUUUCCCCACAUAUGAGUCGGGCCGGGAAUCCAGCUGAUUGCUCGGACUCGGCCGACUCCAUCGGUGAGAGCUGGUCAAGUUUUGAUCUUUACUUCUGAGC